rnacentral:rRNA from 1 species
GACGAACGCUGGCGGCGUGCUUAACACAUGCGAGUCGAACGGUAAGGCCCCUUCGGGGGUACACGAGUGGCGAACGGGUGAGUAACACGUGGGUGAUCUGCCCUGCACUUCGGGAUAAGCCUGGGAAACUGGGUCUAAUACCGGAUAGGACCACGCUCUGCAUGGAGUGUGGUGGAAAGCUUUUGCGGUGUGGGAUGGGCCCGCGGCCUAUCAGCUUGUUGGUGGGGUGAUGGCCUACCAAGGCGGCGACGGGUAGCCGGCCUGGGAAGGUGUCCGGCCACCAUAGGACUACGGGAGGGCCCAGGAGCCUACCGGGCGCAACGGGUGGGAAUAUUGCACAAUGGGCGCAAGCCUGAUGCAGCGACGCCGCGUGGGGGAUGACGGCCUUCGGGUUGUAAACCUCUUUCAGUACCGACGAAGCGCAAGUGACGGUAGGUACAGAAGAAGCACCGGCCAACUACGUG